rnacentral:rRNA from 1 species
AUACGGAGGGUGCAAGCGUUAUCCGGAUUCACUGGGUUUAAAGGGUGCGUAGGUGGGCAGGUAAGUCAGUGGUGAAAUCUCCGGGCUUAACCCGGAAACUGCCGUUGAUACUAUUUGUCUUGAAUAUAGUGGAGGUGAGCGGAAUAUGUCAUGUAGCGGUGAAAUGCUUAGAUAUGACAUAGAACAUCGAUUGCGAAGGCAGCUCGCUACACUAUUAUUGACACUGAGGCACGAAAGCGUGGGGAUCAAACAGGAUUAGAUACCCUGGUAGUCCACGCCCUAAACGAUGGAUACUCGACAUCAGCGAUACACGGUUGGUGUCUGAGCGAAAGCAUUAAGUAUCCCACCUGGGAAGUACGACCGCAAGGUUGAA